rnacentral:lncRNA from 1 species
GAUUUUGGAGAGAAUUUCAAGGGGGAUUUUAUCAAGCAUCAAAGGUGAGUUGUUUCUACUUAUUUCCCAGUUAAAUACAAGAUUAUGUGAAUUAGAACAUGAAAAUCAGUAGAAAAGUGGGGUUUUAGGGCUUGUGCUUUUGAGAUUUUCUAUGGUCGAUUUGAAGAGUCAAACGAGCUCCGAUUUUUGUGUUCUUUAUAUGUACGGACUCGUGAGAGGACGAAGAACAUUUUUGGUAUAAAAAUUUCUGAGUUUUGAGACGUGGUCCCGGGGCUCGGGUUUUGUCAAAUUCGUGAAUUUUGAUAUUUUUCGAUUGCUUUCGAUUGGGCAUUGUCCCUUAAGCAUAAUGCAACAUAUUCGUUGUGAUUUUGGGCAGAUUCGACACACGUGGAGGCCAAUUCGAGGGGAAAAGGCGUCGCGAGCUAAAGAAGUAGCCAGUUUGAGGUGAGUAAUUGAUGUAAAUGAUGUCCUGAGGGUUUGAAACCCUGGAAUUUCACAUUGUAACGCUAUAUUGAGGUGACUUGCAUGCCGGAUAACGGGC